rnacentral:rRNA from 1 species
AUACGUAGGGGGCAAGCGUUAUCCGGAAUUACUGGGUGUAAAGGGAGAGUAGGCGGCAUGAUAAGUUAGAUGUGAAAGACCUUGGGCUUAACCCGAGGAUUGCAUUUAAAACUAUCAAGCUAGAGUACAGGAGAGGUAAGUGGAAUUCCUAGUGUAGCGGUGAAGUGCGUAGAUAUUAGGAAGAACACCAGUGGCGAAGGCGACUUACUGGACUGAAACUGACGCUGAGGCUCGAAAGCGUGGGGAGGC